UACGGGAGGCAGCAGUGGGGAAUAUUGCACAAUGGGCGCAAGCCUGAUGCAGCCAUGCCGCGUGUAUGAAGAAGGCCUUCGGGUUGUAAAGUACUUUCAGCGGGGAGGAAGGCGAUGUGGUUAAUAACCGCGUCGAUUGACGUUACCCGCAGAAGAAGCACCGGCUAACUCCGUGCCAGCAGCCGCGGUAAUACGGAGGGUGCAAGCGUUAAUCGGAAUUACUGGGCGUAAAGCGCACGCAGGCGGUCUGUUAAGUCAGAUGUGAAAUCCCCGGGCUUAACCUGGGAACUGCAUUUUGAACUGGCAGGCUUGAGUCUCGUAGAGGGGGUAGAAUUCCAGGUGUAGCGGUGAAAUGCGUAGAGAUCUGGAGGAAUACCGGUGGCGAAGGCGGCCCCUGGGACGAAGACUGACGCUCAGGGUGCGAAAGCGUGGGGAGCAAACAGGGAUUAGGAUACC
rnacentral:rRNA from 1 species